AGGAUGAACUGACCGAGUUUCUGAUUGAUUUUGCAGAAGUUAACGGCAAAACUUGACUGAACGUAGCGUGGCCUGGGUUUCUCGAAUUUUCAAGCCACCUGACUGGAUUUCUGACUGGGCUGACUGAAAAGUUUUAACCGGGUUCACGAUUUGUUAUUUUAAAAACUAAACUCCCCAAGUGCUUGACUGAGCUCUCCGGAGUCUGUCGCCCUGAGUUGGCCAGAUGAUGGGGUGCUCCUGGAACGAGACUGAAGAACAGGAAAUCGUGCGGGGCGCCUUGCCUGGCCGGCCCUCGGCCUGCCCCCGCCUCACACGCGGCUCACCCGGAGCCAGCCUGCGCACCUGAAGGGGGUGCGGGGCAGGCGGCGUCCCUCUUCCAACAUUCUGGAAUCUUCUGACAUUCUAGCGCCUUCUAGAAUGCUAUUGCAUUUCCAUCCCUUUCUGCCUCACUUCUUGUUCCAGCAUUGCCCAACUCUCAGGGAUGGGCAUCAGCGGCCCUAGGAAACAACGUUCCCGAGUCCAUCUGGCCUGAGUCCCCAUUUCCCAUCCAGGAAGUGGUAUAAAACAGAGCUCAAAAGGGAGGGCUCUGCGUCAGCCUGCCUGGGCUCAGGGCUCGCUCCUGGGUCUAGCCGCGUUGCGCGCUCCUGGGCCGUGUUAAUGAACUUGUCUGAGCGGUGGUUUCUUCACCUCCCACAUGGGUGUGAUUCUCUCCUGCUUGGAGGUUUUGACCAAGAAUACUAAUGAUGGCUGAUGCUUGCUGAACACUGACUUGAGCCAGGCUCUGCUCUGGGGCCGCAUAGGGCCUGAGGAUCCCCGCUGAAUCUUCACCGGAGCGCCUAAGUCUAAGAAGUGAAGGGGUCAGCACAAUCCAAGUGGCCGCCUUCAGCCUCUCGGCGAUCCUGCCUCCUGGGCUUGCCUGGCACUGAUAGAGUCCAGGGAUCAUCGGCGAGCACGGUCUGCCUCGUCACCGUGUUGUGAUACGACCGGUGGCCUGCUUCUUGUUGGGAAAUUGGGCUGCUCUUCGGCUCCCGUUGUGGCAUGUCAGGACCGUGGGGUUCGUUCUGUUUCGGGGGACGUUCGUCAAUCUGCUCACAUCUGGUCUGAUGUUACCAUGAGGACCUCCCGGGUUUCUUUACUGGCGCCUUAACGGGAACCAGGUUCGCAAAGCAUUCGCCAGUCCUGGUGUGUCCCUGCGUUUGCCAGCCAUUAGCCAUAAGUCGCGGACGGCGACAGCGGAGGAAUUGGCCCUGAUCCUGAGCUCGCACCACACCUGUGGCCGCGCUGGUCUUCUUGUCUUCUCCGGGGCGGGAGAGGAGGCAGGUGCUGAGGAGGAUGUAUGAAGGAUGAUAAAUAUUCAUCCCUCACUGGAAGGGAAGUUCUGCUUUAACAGGAAGAGCUGGCUGUGGGCUGCUGUCUUCAGUCUCUGCCUUAAGUCCUGUGCCUUCGUGUGUGUGCUGUCCAGACAAAUGCCUUCACUUCCCCUCUUCCGUGUCUUUGCACAUGCUGUCCUCUGCCCCGUGCGUCUUCCUCCUCCUUGAUGUACUUAUUCCGCACGUACCGAAAAUCUCCUCUAUGUUACAUGUGACUCAGGAGCUGGAAACACGAAGACACGAUCCCUGCCUCAGGGGCUCCCAGUGGCAGAGGGAUGCAGAGUAUCAGGGAUCACAGGCCUGGGACACCGAGACCGUGCGGGGCCGGACAAGGGACAGGUCAGGGAACUCGCCAGGGCCCUGGGGAAGUUUAAUAAAUAUCUGUUCAAAGUAA